rnacentral:rRNA from 1 species
UGGGGAAUCUUGCGCAAUGGGCGAAAGCCUGACGCAGCGACACCGCGUGGGGGAUGAAGGCCUUUCAGGUCGUAAACCCCUUUCGGCAGGGACGAAGCGAUCUCGUGACGGUACCUGCAGAAGAAGCCUCGGCUAACUACGUGCCAGCAGCCGCGGUAACACGUAGGAGGCGAGCGUUGUCCGGAAUCAUUGGGCGUAAAGAGCGCGCAGGCGGCUUGGCAAGUCGGGUGUGAAAUCCCGGGGCUCAACCCCGGGACUGCAUUCGAUACUGUCAGGCUAGAGGUAGGUAGGGGAGAUCGGAAUUCCUGGUGUAGCGGUGAAAUGCGCAGAUAUCAGGAGGAACACCGGUGGCGAAGGCGGAUCUCUGGGCCUUACCUGACGCUCAGGCGCGAAAGCUAGGGGAGCGAACAGG